rnacentral:rRNA from 1 species
GACGAACGCUGGCGGCGUGCUUAACUCAUGCAAGUCGAACGGUGAAGCGCCUUCCUUUUUGGUGGGUGUGGAUGAGUGGCGAACGGGUGAGUAACACGUGAGUAACCUGCCCCCUUCUUCUGGAUAACCGCAUGAAAGUGUGGCUAAUACGGGAUAUUCUGGGUCUGUCGCAUGAUGGGUCUGGGAAAGAUAUUGUUUCGGUGGGGGAUGGGCUCGCGGCCUAUCAGCUUGUUGGUGGGGUGAUGGCCUACCAAGGCGGUGACGGGUAGCCGGCCUGAGGGGGUGGACGGUCACACUGGGACUGAGACACGGCCAAGACUCCUACGGGAGGCAGCAGUGGGGAAUAUUGCACAAUGGGCGCAAGCCUGAUGCAGCGACGCCGCGUGAGGGAUGGAGGCCUUCGGGUUGUGAACCUCUUUCGCCAGUGAAGCAGGCCUGCCUCGUUUGUGGGUGGGUUGACGGUAGCUGGAUAAGAAGCGCCGGCUAACUACGUG